rnacentral:rRNA from 1 species
GACGAACGCUGGCGGCGUGCUUAACACAUGCAAGUCGAACGGAAAGGCCCUGCUUUUGUGGGGUGCUCGAGUGGCGAACGGGUGAGUAACACGUGAGUAACCUGCCCUUGACUUUGGGAUAACUUCAGGAAACUGGGGCUAAUACCGGAUAGGAGCUCCUGCUGCAUGGUGGGGGUUGGAAAGUUUCGGCGGUUGGGGAUGGACUCGCGGCUUAUCAGCUUGUUGGUGGGGUAGUGGCUUACCAAGGCUUUGACGGGUAGCCGGCCUGAGAGGGUGACCGGCCACAUUGGGACUGAGAUACGGCCCAGACUCCUACGGGAGGCAGCAGUGGGGAAUAUUGCACAAUGGGCGGAAGCCUGAUGCAGCAACGCCGCGUGCGGGAUGACGGCCUUCGGGUUGUAAACCGCUUUCGCCUGUGACGAAGCGUGAGUGACGGUAAUGGGUAAAGAAGCACCGGCUAACUACGUGCCAGCAGCCGCGGUGAUACGUAGGGUGCGAGCGUUGUCCGGAUUUAUUGGGCGUAAAGGGCUCGUAGGUGGUUGAUCGCGUCGGAAGUGUAAUCUUGGGGCUUAACCCUGAGCGUGCUUUCGAUACGGGUUGACUUGAGGAAGGUAGGGGAGAAUGGAAUUCCUGGUGGAGCGGUGGAAUGCGCAGAUAUCAGGAGGAACACCAGUGGCGAAGGCGGUUCCCUGGGCCUCUCCUGACGCUGAGGAGCGAAAGCGUGGGGAGCGAACAGGCUUAGAUACCCUGGUAGUCCACGCUGUAAACGGUGGGUACUAGGUGUGGGGUCCAUUCCACGGGUUCCGUGCCGUAGCUAACGCUUUAAGUACCCCGCCUGGGGAGUACGGCCGCAAGGCUAAAACUCAAAGGAAUUGACGGGGCCCCGCACAAGCGGCGGAGCAUGCGGAUUAAUUCGAUGCAACGCGUAGAACCUUACCUGGGUUUGACAUGGAUCGGGAGUGCUCAGAGAUGGGUGUGCCUCUUUUGGGGUCGGUUCACAGGUGGUGCAUGGCUGUCGUCAGCUCGUGUCGUGAGAUGUUGGGUUAAGUCCCGCAACGAGCGCAACCCUUGUUCACUGUUGCCAGCACGUUAUGGUGGGGACUCAGUGGAGACCGCCGGGGUCAACUCGGAGGAAGGUGGGGAUGACGUCAAGUCAUCAUGCCCCUUAUGUCCAGGGCUUCACGCAUGCUACAAUGGCUGGUACAGAGAGUGGCGAGCCUGUGAGGGUGAGCGAAUCUCGGAAAGCCGGUCUCAGUUCGGAUUGGGGUCUGCAACUCGACCUCAUGAAGUCGGAGUCGCUAGUAAUCGCAGAUCAGCAACGCUGCGGUGAAUACGUUCCCGGGGCU